rnacentral:rRNA from 1 species
GGGGGGGGGGGGGGGGGGGGGGGGGGGGGGGGGGGCGGGGGGGGGCGGAGGGGGGGCGUGCUCUUGCGGGGGGCGGGGGGCGGACGGGUGAGGGGUGCAUCGGACUCUGCGGUUUCGUGGGGGAUAACGUAGGGCAACUUACGCUCAUACCGCCUACGACCUGCGGGUGAGAGCAGGGGAUCUUCGGACCUUGCGCGAUUGACUGAGCCGAUGUCGGAUUAGCUAGUUGGCGGGGUAACGGCCCACCAAGGCGACGAUCCGUAGCUGGUCUGAGAGGAUGAUCAGCCACACUGGAACUGAGACACGGUCCAGACUCCUACGGGAGGCAGCAGUGGGGAAUAUUGGACAAUGGGCGCAAGCCUGAUCCAGCCAUACCGCGUGGGUGAAGAAGGCCUUCGGGUUGUAAAGCCCUUUUGUUGGGAAAGAAAAGCAGCAGGUUAAUACCCCGCUGUUCUGACGGUACCCAAAGAAUAAGCACCGGCUAACUUCGUG